GACGAACGCUGGCGGCGUGCCUAAUACAUGCAAGUAGAACGCACAGUUUAUACCGUAGCUUGCUACACCAUAAACUGUAAGUUGCGAACGGGUGAGUAACGCGUAGGUAACCUGCCUGGUAGCGGGGGAUAACUAUUGGAAACGAUAGCUAAUACCGCAUAAUAUUGAUUAUUGCAUGAUAAUUGAUUGAAAGAUGCUAUUGCAUCACUACCAGAUGGACCUGCGUUGUAUUAGCUAGUAGGUGAGGUAACGGCUCACCUAGGCGACGAUACAUAGCCGACCUGAGAGGGUGAUCGGCCACACUGGGACUGAGACACGGCCCAGACUCCUACGGGAGGCAGCAGUAGGGAAUCUUCGGCAAUGGACGAAAGUCUGACCGAGCAACGCCGCGUGAGUGAAGAAGGUUUUCGGAUCGUAAAGCUCUGUUGUAAGAGAAGAACGGGUGUGAGAGUGGAAAGUUCACACUGUGACGGUAUCUUACCAGAAAGGGACGGCUAACUACGUG
rnacentral:rRNA from 1 species